UUGGUCGUUGUGUUUUCUAUUUUUUAGUUCUUGUGUUCUCUUUUGUGUUUUUCCUUCCAAUCAUGUCUCCUGUUCUCCUGCAAAUUUUCCCCUCUAUGUCCAAGUUAAAUGUAGCUAAUGUUUGUCGCUUGCCACCUGUGAGUUUUUGUGUUUUUUUUUUUUGUUACUUGAGAGAGGGGACAGGAAACAGCUUUCAUUUCUAAAAAACACAGCAGCAGAUAAAAUGGUGCAAUUUCUCUCUGACAUCUUGAUGAAAUAAAGUGUUAGCUCACUUUUCUUACUUCCUCAUUCACAUGAAGUGGUUGGUUGUCAGUGAUUAUAUAAAGACCUGUUGCUUUCACACUCUUCAGUGGAUCAGCCAUGGACAAAGGUUUGCUGCUGGUCCUGUUGUGUCUGCAGGUCGUCCUGCUCACCACAGUCUUCACUUCUGCUGAUGCAGCUGCUCUGCUGAGAGAUGAUCAGCAUCAACAGCCUGUUGAUCUGAUAAGAAGUCUGCAGGAAAUGAAACAAAGAGGACUGAGGAAGCACAAACAUUCGUUUGGGAGACAGUGCGGGACGAGACGAGGAGCAUGCAGUUCGAUAUCGGGAUUCUGGCCAAUCCGAAACUAGACGUCUAGAGUCAAGCUCUGCAGGAAGUGCCAUCAGAUGUAGAAGAUUGCAAAUGGAUGAAGAUAAUUGUAAUGCUUACAAAACAAUUCAAAUGCUUUUAAUUAGAAAUAAAAGAUUUCAAAUCA
ensembl:lncRNA